AUCUGCUUUUAGACAGAAUGGACAGAAAACCUAUCAGAGAAGUGGCGUCUUUAUUUUCCUUCAGGAGUUGAAGGCACUGCUCUAUCCUCCAGGAGAAGGGAGCACAGUGGUUCCUCUUGUCCGUUUCCAGCAACCUGGGCCACCCUUCCUGCUGUGCGGGGUUCCGUGGGCAGAGCGACCGUCUGGACUGUGUGAUCCACUUCAGCACAUUUGUUUACCCUUCCUCUUGUGGUUACCAGAUGCUGCAUGAAAAUAGUUGCUUUCAUGGCAGUUUCUGCUUCAGUGCCGUAGGCUGCUACUGUGUCUGGAUUCGGAUAAUUCAUGAUGUUGAUGAUGUUCCAGAGGGUGGAAAGUCUCCAGCCAUCCAUAAUCUCAGAAGAUGGGACCAUGACUGGCAGCCAUGGGUGGGUUGAACAAUCCCGAUGAUGACACCAUCCUGUGUAACUUUAUAUGGGGCUCGCGAUUAGUGAGCGUUUGCAUUUAUUAAAAAUAGGCCUGCUCAAGGAAUUCAUGGGAU